GUGUUUCCUGGGGAAAAGUGUGGCAUCUUCAGUUUACAUCAACUUGCUCUCAUCUGAGACAAAACUCUGUGUGUCCCUGCUGCGAUGGAUGCCAGAUAGAGCCUGCUUGCCUAGGAUGGGGACAGAUGCCAUUGGAAACAGAUGCUGGUGAGUCCUUCCUCAGAAAUCCGGUCCUUGCACUGCCUGGGAAUACAAACAGAUGCUCUGUGGCACUUCAUUAUUGGAUUGCGAGCACAUUGAUGUUUCAUAAAGGGCAUUGUAGAGUAAUGUUUGCCAUGCUCCAUGCCAAUUGCGGGCUGAGAUUGCUACAGCAUCAUGGAACAGAUGGAAGUUAAAGUCGUAGCUAAGCUCCAGUCUCCAUUUCUUUUGAUGAAGAGCUCCAAAGAUAGCUUUAAGUGAACUUUCAAAGGAACUGAGAUGGAAUGACCCCACCUGUCAGUUCACUGGAACUGCCAUGCCCUGAUAUUGACGUGAAAGGGCAAAUUUACAACAGCGGCCAGUACUUUUGCAAGAUCGCUGGAGAGAAUUCAUCAUCAGAAUAGAGAUUGCAAGACCAUCACGAUGACUUCACGUCAGUGCCAGCAUAUGCAGCCGUGGAAUACAGUGAGCGCUCUCUGCGGCUGACAGCAAUAGCGGUGAUCUAAUUUACCCGGCGACUGGAAGAAACUCUUUGUACAGGCUCUGGGUCCCUUUGGAUUAGUGACUUCAAGGUCAACUGGAGGAGAAAGGAAGCAGGGCUGAGGGUCACCCUCUCCUGUCUCAUUUGCAUGCUCUUGAAUAUAUGAUUUUAAGAAACAUGCGUUUUUGAUCUGCAAUGUAAAAAUUCCUCAAUGAUUUUUUGUACAGAUGUGCAGAAUACAGGAAUGAAAUAAAAUAUUGAGAAUU
ensembl:lncRNA novel transcript